GUUUACUAUCAGACCUACAUCCGUCCCCAGGCUCUGUACAGUUGUCUAUGGCCUUCCCUCCCAGUCAUUUACUACGAGCUGCCUGGACCUCUAGGAGUUUACGUUUGUCAAUGUUUGAGGGAACAGAGAGAAGAGAUGAGCAUAGCACCUUCUUCCCCCGGCUGGUUCGACGUGGGCCGCGAGAAGCCCUUUCCGGCCAUCUAUUCUGAGCUUAAAACCCCCGUGACGGUAGACGUGCUUGAGAUUGGGUUGGUUAGCGCUUUCUUCACCCUUCUCGUCCCUUUUCUCCUGAUCUUGCCUGCGUUUACCGGCUGCCGGAAAAAAAUUCUGGUAUACGUUAGAGUUUCUUUCUUUCUCCUUCUCGGCCUCAGCAUAAUGUGUAAGUAUUUUCAAUGUAUUUUCCUGUUGUAUUAUUAUUAUUUUUUUAUGUUCUAUUAAUAUUUUAACUA